AGUGAACGCUGGCGGUAGGCCUAACACAUGCAAGUCGAACGGCAGCACAGUAAGAGCUUGCUCUUACGGGUGGCGAGUGGCGGACGGGUGAGGAAUACAUCGGAAUCUACUUUUUCGUGGGGGAUAACGUAGGGAAACUUACGCUAAUACCGCAUACGACCUACGGGUGAAAGCAGGGGAUCUUCGGACCUUGCGCGAUUGAAUGAGCCGAUGUCGGAUUAGCUAGUUGGCGGGGUAAAGGCCCACCAAGGCGACGAUCCGUAGCUGGUCUGAGAGGAUGAUCAGCCACACUGGAACUGAGACACGGUCCAGAGGCCUACGGGAGGCAGCAGUGGGGAAUAUUGGACAAUGGGCGCAAGCCUGAUCCAGCCAUACCGCGUGGGUGAAGAAGGCCUUCGGGUUGUAAAGCCCUUUUGUUGGGAAAGAAAAGCAGCAGGUUAAUACCCCGCUGUUCUGACGGUACCCAAAGAAUAAGCACCGGCUAACUUCGUG
rnacentral:rRNA from 1 species